GCAAUGGCUGGCUAGGGUUCCGGUUCGCGCAAGCGAACGACUGGUCCGAGAGCUGGCGACCUCCAGCGAGGUUACACGGCGGGACAAAAGCCCGGGAGAA
rfam:Pseudomonas resinovorans NBRC 106553 DNA, complete geonome.